GAUGAACGCUGGCGGCGUGCCUAAUACAUGCAAGUCGAGCGAACAGACGAGGAGCUUGCUCCUUUGACGUUAGCGGCGGACGGGUGAGUAACACGUAGGUAACCUACCUAUAAGACUGGGAUAACUUCGGGAAACCGGAGCUAAUACCGGAUAAUAUUUCGAACCGCAUGGUUCGAUAGUGAAAGAUGGCUUUUCUAUCACUUAUAGAUGGACCUGCGCCGUAUUAGCUAGUUGGUAAGGUAACGGCUUACCAAGGCAACGAUACGUAGCCGACCUGAGAGAGUGAUCGGCCACACUGGAACUGAGACACGGUCCAGACUCCUACGGGAGGCAGCAGUAGGGAAUCUUCCGCAAUGGGCGAAAGCCUGACGGAGCAACGCCGCGUGAGUGAUGAAGGUCUUCGGAUCGUAAAACUCUGUUAUUAGGGAAGAACAAACGUGUAAGUAACUGUGCACGUCUUGACGGUACCUAAUCAGAAAGCCACGGCUAACUACGUG
rnacentral:rRNA from 1 species